rnacentral:tRNA from 1 species
GGCCUUGUGGUCUAGUGGUAUGAUUCUCACUUAGGGUGAGAGAGGUCCCGGAUUUGAUCUCCGGCAAGGCCC